rnacentral:rRNA from 1 species
AUGAACGCUAGCGGCAGGCUUAACACAUGCAAGUCGAGGGGCAGCAUACCGGUGACGGGUGAUGGCGACCGGCGGAAGGGUGAGUAACGCGUGAGCAACAUACCCGUAUCAGUGGAUAAUACAGGGAAACUUGUUCUAAUAUCACAUAAUAUUAUUCAGAGGCAUCUUUGGAUAAUUAAAGUUCAGGCGGAUACGGAAUGGCUCGCGUGACAUUAGCUAGAUGGUAGGGUAAAGGCCUACCAUGGCUAUGAUGUCUAGGGGUUCUGAGAGGGAGGUCCCCCACACUGGAACUGAGACACGGUCCAGACUCCUACGGGAGGCAGCAGUGAGGAAUAUUGGACAAUGGAUGAAAAUCUGAUCCAGCCAUGCCGCGUGCAGGAAGGCGGCCCUAUGGGUUGUAAACUGCUUUUGUACGGGAGCAAUAAGGUCUACGAGUAGAUUGAUGAGAGUACUGUACGAAUAAGCAUCGGCUAACUCCGUGCC